GACGAACGCUGGCGGCGUGCCUAAUACAUGCAAGUAGAACGCACUUGCGAACGGGUGAGUAACGAGUAUCUACCUGCCUCAGAGCGGGGGAUAACGAUUGGAAACGAUAUCUAAUACCGCAUCCUGUGAGAUGGACCUGCGUUGUAUUAGCUAGUUGGUGAGGUAAAGGAUCACCAAGGCGAUGAUACAUAGGCUACCUGAGAGGGGGAUCGGCGCACCUGGGAAUGGUACACGGCCCAGACUCCUACGGGAGGCAGCAGGAGGGGAUCUUCGGCAAUGGACGGAAGUCUGACCGAGCACCGCCGCGUGAGUUAAAAAGGUUUUCGGAUCGUAAAGCUCUGUUGUUAGGGAAGCGGUACCUAACCAGAAAGGGACGGCUAACUCCGUGCCAGCAGCCGCGGUAAUAC
rnacentral:rRNA from 1 species